GCGUAAGAGAGAGAAUUGGCAGCAUCAGUGACGAGCACUUCAUAGGACUUGGGCGUGUAAACUGCGACUCCCCUUUUGGGGUCGAAACUCGAGGUCGCUUGGGACUGAGAGUCUUGUUGUUUGUUGGUGCUGGCGCAUUGGAUUUUGGAGGUGCAAGGGAGUUUUUGGAGAGAAGGGGACAGAGAGAAUAGUGGUGCGGAGCGAGGGAAAGACAGAAGAGGAAGAGAGUGGCGAGGAACAGAGAGAGAGGGAAGAGAAG
rnacentral:misc_RNA from 1 species